UACAUGGGGUGCAAACGUUGCUCGGAAUUAUUGGGCGUAAAGCGCACGUAGGCGGUCCGUUAAGUCGGAUGUGAAAUCCCCCGGCUCAACCGGGGAAGUGCAUCCGAAACUGGCGGGCUAGAGUACGAAAGAGGGUCGCGGAAUUCCCGGUGUAGAGGUGAAAUUCGUAGAUAUCGGGAGGAACACCGGUGGCGAAGGCGGCGACCUGGGUCGAUACUGACGCUGAGGUGCGAAAGCGUGGGGAUCAAACAGG
rnacentral:rRNA from 1 species